ACUAAACCCUUCACAAGAGAAAGAUUAGAGAAACAACAAUGUCAGCACAAACAUAUAAUUUUGCUUUCCUACUAUUGAUUAUUUGUCUUCUUUUUACUCAAUCAACAGCAAGCGGUUGUGUUUUUAAAGGUCAUUGUACAACUGAUGACAUUUGCAAAUACGUAUGCAGAGGCCAUGGAGUAGAUUCAAAGUUUCAAUUAUGUGUUCCUUAUUCUUCAAAUGGAGGCAAAUGUUGUUGUUUACAUUAUGAUGGGGCACCAUCAUCAAGUGAAGAUAUAUAGUUUCGUUUUCUACAAAGAUACAACCAUAAAAUUGUAUUAUCAAUUAUCAUGCGAAUUAAAAAUAAUAAAAUUAUCUU